rnacentral:rRNA from 1 species
UUUGCAGGUCUGUUUUGUAUCCCUGAACAUGCUGAUCUUGUCUGAUAUCUGAAGCUAAGGAGAGUGAAUUCUGGUUGGUACUUGGAUGGGAAACCCCCAUGUAAUACCAGCAAUCCCCAGAA